UACAGAGACUGCAAGCGUUAUUCGGAUUCACUGGGCGUAAAGGGUGCGCAGGCGGUUGGGUGUGUCAGAUGUGAAAUCCCGAGGCUUAACCUCGGAACUGCGUCUGAAACUACUCGACUAGAGUACUGGAGAGGGAAACGGAAUUCCCGGUGUAGCGGUGAAAUGCGCAGAUAUCGGGAGGAACACCGGUGGCGAAGGCGGUUCUCUGGGCCUGUACUGACGCUGAGGAGCGAAAGCGUGGGGAGCGAACAGG
rnacentral:rRNA from 1 species